UUAGAUUUCCCAUGUCAUGGGUGGUAAGGGACAAACAAUUGGAGUGAUUGCUUAGGCACAACAGCCAAUAAAUAAGGGAAAAGGGACUAUUUUGGCUUUGAAAAGUUCUAAACAAAGACACUGUCACGGACUUCAGAGAAUGGAGGCGAGGCUUGGAUCCAAAUAUUAGUUCGAAGGAAUUUAUUAAAAGGUAGGCAACGCUUACUAGGAGAAUAUCCACUAUCCACAGAGCCGCCAACAGGACACUGGGGACAGAAGUCUCUGAGGCGCCGGGAACAGGCACAGUCUCUGGGACACGGCUCAGGGAGAACGGUCAACGUAGACUCUGGGAUUCUGCACGUCAGCUGAGAUUCUG